CCGGGGGGCGUGAGGAAACGGGCUCUGCCCCCUCCCAGGGCGGGCAGGACGGCGAGCGGGGCUCGGCCACGCUGCAGUAAAAUGGCUGCCCUGAGGGCGCAGGGACCUGCGUCCAGGCCUGGGUCCGCUGCUCGGCCGCGCGUGCCCUUCAGGACAUAAAUAAUUGGGGGUUUUUUCUGUUGUUUUUUUUUUUCCCCCUAACUGUCCUUUCCCACCGACAUCGUGGUCCUGAAGAGGUGGUUUCCUCAGACUAACCUCACAGGCUGCUGCGGGAGGACGCUCACAUCCACUUUGCAGGGUGGGUUUGGACACACGAGCCUCAAAAACGUACUCGGCUCUGUGCUGUGCCUACGUAAAUUAAAAGCGGAGGGUCACAAAAGUAUUCUGAGGUUGAGGCAAAGCCGCAUCUCGGGGGGGGCGGGUUUGUGAGCGUCUCCUGAGGGCUCCGUGCUCCUGCCGGGCACGUGAGGGAGGUUUCAUGUAGAGUUAGAUGACAAAUGUGUACAAAAGAGGGCAGAAAAGGAUUUAUUUGGCUCUAAAACAUGCGUUAAAGGCAGGAAAUGUAGCUUUAGGUAGACAAACUGCUCCCACAUGCCCCAAACCCUCAUGUCCCAGCUCACCCCAACCCAACCCGUCCCUCUCCUCACUCCUCGCUCUGAGGAGUUCAAGAGGCAAACGGGCUUUUGAAGUGAUAAUUUGUUUUCUGAUCCACAAGAUCUUAAGAGUGGUGGGAGGAAUAUUUUUUAAAAAAUGAUUGAAAUAGUACUUUGCUAAUCUGCAUUGCUCUGGUUUAUCCCUUGAUGUCUUUUGUUUCAGCACAAGUGAAUCCAUGUGGUGCCAGGAAGGUCCGGUCGGUGUAUCCACCACGGUGGGGUUGAAGUAAAAAAACCCUUUAGGCUCCUAAGUGAAUUAAGGGAUUUUGAAAAAUGUGUCAUGCCCCUUUAGCAGAGGCUGUGGUUCGUGCUUCAUUUUCCAUGUGUUAAUUAAACAUGCACAUUCCUCUAGAAAAAACAGAAACCCCGAUGACUUAGAAAAAUAUUUUCAGUCUAACAUCAUGACAUGUUUGACUGUUAUAAAUGCCUGUCAUUUUUCUCUCCUGUAAAGUAGAGUUAUGUGCAGUGCUCUAGUGAUUCUUAACAUGGGUAAUAUCCGUGUUAGAUUGCUGGUGGUUUACAUAAAGGCUGCUAUUAAUCACUGGGAGGCAUUAUGAGAAAACGCAUCUUCAGAAUCGGUGGUUUGCAAAGUAUCAACUGUCGAGGGAUUUUCUACAUCUUUCAAAGAGCAUUAUGGUUUCAGGAUGCUGCUCACAGUGGAAUAUGGAGCAGUGAGGUGGUGACUGUGGUGCUGCUGUGGUUCCAGCCUUGGUCUCUGUCACAUCAGUGGCUGCUUUUUGGGGAAAUACAGCUUUUGAACCAGCACAAUUAAACCAGCUCAUUCAGUUAUUGUCACAUUUUAAAAAACCCAACUCCAUUCCCCACAAAAAAAAAUAAAAAUCUCAAGAGACCCUGAGUACUCUCUUCCAAGGUGUAGAAUCACAGAAUCAUAGACUGGUUUGGGUUGGAAGGACCUUAAAGAUCACCAGCUCCCAACCCCCCUGCACGGCAGGGACACCUCCCACCAGCCCCAGCUGCUCCAAGCCCCAUCCAACCUGCCCUUCAACACUGCCAGGGAUGGGGCAGCCACAGCUUCCCUGGGCAACCUGGGCCAGGGUCUCACCACCCUCACAGGGAAGAAUUUCUUCCUAAUAGCUAACCUAAAUCUCCCCUCUUCCAGUUUUAAUCCAUUCCCCCUCAUCCCAUCCCUCCCUGCCCUUGUCCCAAGUCCCUCCCCAGCUUCCUGGAGCCCCUCCAGGCACUGGAAGGUGCUCUAAGGUCUCCCUGGAGCCUUCUCUUCUCCAGGCUGAACACCCCAACUCUCUCAUCCUGUCUCCAGAGCAGAGCUGCUCCUGCCCUGGAUCAUCUCCGUGGCCUCCUCUGGACUUGCUCCACCAGCUCCACGUCCUUCUUGUGUUGGGGGCUCCAGAACUGGACAUGCUACUCCAGGAGAUGCAUUCCUGACACCUCCCCAUAUCAGCAGGAAACCAGGAAUAUUCCCUGCAUCCCAACAGAAGAGCCACCUUGCACUUAGGCUAGAGAUGUGAGCAGGGUUUCAGCUGACUGUUCAUCAAUAAACCCCUCAUGCCUAGAGGAGGCUCUGCCACUUCCCCACCAUCAGGCUCGUGUCACACAAAGGCGAGAUCCAUUCUGGGACAGGACAUGCUUUCCAGGGAGAAGCAACCACUCAAAAGCUUUUGCAGGCUGAGAUUCUCUGCUUAGCAAGUUGCUGCACCUUGAAGAACAACCCCAAGAAAUGUGAGUGUGUAGUGGAAAUGUCUGCAGGCUUGGAUUAGAACGGCACUGGCAGAUGAUGCUGUUGCUUCCACAACAUAAAUAUUACAGAAAUUUCAAGUAAAUAUGGGGGAUUCUAUUUUUUUUUUUCCUCAUUUUUUCCUCACCCAGGCCAGGAACUGCUGAAGCUUAAAUAAACAAUUGCAGAAGUGA